rnacentral:rRNA from 1 species
GAUGAACGCUGGCGGCGUGCUUAACACAUGCAAGUCGAACGAACCUUCGGGUUAGUGGCGGACGGGUGAGUAACGCGUGGGAAUCUGCCCUCAGGAGGGGGAUAACGGUUGGAAACGACCGCUAAUACCCCAUAUGCCGAGAGGUGAAAUGAAUUUCGCCUGAGGAUGAGCCCGCGUCUGAUUAGCUAGUUGGUGGGGUAAUGGCCCACCAAGGCGACGAUCAGUAGCUGGUCUGAGAGGAUGAUCAGCCACACUGGGACUGAGACACGGCCCAGACUCCUACGGGAGGCAGCAGUGGGGAAUUUUCCGCAAUGGGCGAAAGCCUGACGGAGCAACGCCGCGUGAGGGAUGAAGGCCUCUGGGCUGUAAACCUCUUUUCUCAAGGAAGAAGACAUGACGGUACUUGAGGAAUAAGCCACGGCUAAUUCCGUGCCAGCAGCCGCGGUAAUACGGGAGUGGCAAGCGUUAUCCGGAAUUAUUGGGCGUAAAGCGUCCGCAGGCGGCCUUGUAAGUCUGUCGUUAAAGCGUGGAGCUUAACUCCAUUUCAGCGAUGGAAACUACAAGGCUUGAGUGUGGUAGGGGCAGAGGGAAUUCCCGGUGUAGCGGUGAAAUGCGUAGAUAUCGGGAAGAACACCAGUGGCGAAGGCGCUCUGCUGGGCCAUAACUGACGCUCAUGGACGAAAGCCAGGGGAGCGAAAGGGAUUAGAUACCCCUGUAGUCCUGGCCGUAAACGAUGAACACUAGGUGUCGGGGGAAUCGACCCCCUCGGUGUCGUAGCUAACGCGUUAAGUGUUCCGCCUGGGGAGUACGCACGCAAGUGUGAAACUCAAAGGAAUUGACGGGGGCCCGCACAAGCGGUGGAGUAUGUGGUUUAAUUCGAUGCAACGCGAAGAACCUUACCAGGGUUUGACAUCCUGCGAAUCCCUUGGAAACGAGGGAGUGCCUUAGGGAGCGCAGAGACAGGUGGUGCAUGGCUGUCGUCAGCUCGUGUCGUGAGAUGUUGGGUUAAGUCCCGCAACGAGCGCAACCCACGUCUUUAGUUGCCAGCAUUUAGUUGGGCACUCUAGAGAGACCGCCGGUGAUAAACCGGAGGAAGGUGUGGAUGACGUCAAGUCAUCAUGCCCCUUACAUCCUGGGCUACACACGUACUACAAUGCUACGGACAAAGGGUUGCAAGCUCGCGAGAGUUAGCUAAUCCCAUAAACCGUGGCUCAGUUCAGAUCGUAGGCUGCAACUCGCCUACGUGAAGGAGGAAUCGCUAGUAAUCGCAGGUCAGCAUACUGCGGUGAAUACGUUCCCGGGCCUUGUACACACCGCCCGUCACACCAUGGAAGUUGGCCAUGCCCGAAGUCGUUACUCCAACCCUUGUGGAGGAGGACGCCGAAGGUGGGGCUGAUGACUGGGGUGAAGUCGUAACAAGGUAGCCGUACCGGAAGGUGCGGCUGGAUCACCUCCUAA